GUCUUUUUCGGGGUUUGCCUGCCGCGCAAGAGCUGCAAAAUUUUGCUUAAUUUUUCCUCAAACAGUGAAAAAAGACCAGGGUUAAAGAGCUGAACUUUAUUUCUCGGAAAUACGGUAAACCCCGCAAAGUACGCGAAACCCCAGGCGCGUAUACGCGUUUGCGCUUCGUUUUAACGAGUGAAAAUAGUCAUAGUGUUAUUAUUUUCAUAUGAGUUAGGUGUGCGCUUCAUCUUCGCCCAUUCUCGGUGAAAUCGUGUGGUGCAAAAUAGUUAAUUGAAGGAAAACUAUACAUUCGUACAAGCAGAGCAUAAUCAAAAUCCGUUUAUUCUGCACUGUGUAGUCGUAAUCGGUAGAGUUCCCUUUAGUCGGAACUCAUAUUACAUACGAAGUUUCCUCUAGCGGGGAAGAUAUCGUAGUCAUCAGGUGCCACUUCAAGUCAAUGGUUGCUACGAAUGAGGUGUAAAGUCGGUGAAAUCUUUUGAGGAGAAAUUUUAGACGCGCUCCAAGAAGCGUUCGUUAAGACGAGAUUCUUGUGGAAAGUUCAACACGGGAAAGAGGCAACCGCUUUUGGAUAGUUUGCAGCCAGCGAUAGCUAUCUUAUCACAAUGGAUAAAAGGAAAUUAUCUACGGCCGGGGAUACUCUCUACCAGACACUGGGUCUACAGAAGACGGCAACGGCAGACGAGAUCAAGAAGACAUACAGAAAACUCGCUCUAAAGUACCACCCGGACAAGAACCCCAACAAUCCAGAUGCAGCAGAAAAGUUCAAAGAAGUAAACCGUGCUCAUUCCAUUCUGAGUGAUUUGACAAAGCGAAACAUAUACGACAAUUAUGGAUCGCUUGGUUUGUACAUUGCGGAACAGUUUGGCGAAGAGAACGUUAAUGCAUAUUUCGUCGUUACGUCGCCUACGUGCAAGGCACUGUUUAUGAUUUGUGGUAUUAUCACCGGUUGUUAUUGCUGCUGUUGUUGCUGCUGUUGCUGCAACUUCUGCUUUGGCAAAUACAAACCAGUACCUCCCGAAAAUGCUGGAGAUUAUCAUCAUCUACACAGAGAUGGUGCCGCAAGUAGUAGCAACGCGCGGGAUGGAACCGCCGUCACAGAUCAGCCAACGCGAAGAGAAGAUUUGGCCGAUCUGGAAGAUAACGGCGGUGGUCCGGUGACAUCGCAGCCACAAGCUGGACAAGGACAGGGUGCCGGCAUGCCAGUGUACGCCAUGCCUCCACCAUCAUCCAAUCCGACGAAUCCGUUCACUGGAAACGCCACUGAGAGCACGGGGCUGAACACGGGCAAUCAACCCAUCUACACGCCAGGCCACUAAACAAAUUUGGAAAUUCGAUACCCAGCUUCCGUUGUAAUCGUUCAAAAACAAUAAGCAUAUGAUUUGCUCCAAUUUUGAAGUUAUCCUACGUUUCCGUUUCUUUCGAAUCACCAAUGCAACACCAUGCGCUUCUACAAUUUCGCACAUUAAUGUUGCAUUGCUUAUAGCGUAUCUUUAGUUUGGAGAAAAUGUAGAAGUAUCCCACUCGCGUGAAAUGGCGCAAUGGUGAAUUCCCUAGUGGCAAUGUAUGAAGUGAGCGUACUAAUCAUCGCCAUCAAUAAAACUGGUCGGUUCGAAGGAAAAGUAAUUUGGACAGUGGGAGGUAUAGCAUAAUGGCGAGUACGGUAAUGUGCGCACCUUCCUCUGAGUCCAGCCCUAUUUCUUUUGUGCAACGAAUAGCACCGAACCAAAUCAAACAACCCAUAUACAAUAUACUGUAACAAUAACAAACUGUAAUAUUCAUCGCUCGAAUCGAACCGCAACUGCAUCUCUCUGCAGCAUUAGCGCGAAACAGUGGAAUCACUUAUAAAAUGAAGCAGUGGAGCAAAAAAAAGUAUCUUUUUAGGGUAUAUUUAUGCGUUAGGUAAUGGCAGCAAAAAGGAUAUAUGUACACGGGAACUAAUCUGCUCUGUACUUUGUGGGUAGUACUCAAUGAAGCGGACGGAUGAAAGAUCGUAAAACUGUUGUGUAGUAGAUAUCCUCUGUUUGUGUGUGUGCAUGUACGUGUAUUUAUCCUAGUGAGGUUAUUUCCUACCGAUAGCCUCCGUUUCAGAGAGUUGCAGAUAAGCGAGAACACACAGAAUCAAAAGCAACCAUAUAACAAAGCUAACAAUAGUUUUUACUCUCGCUGUUGCUGUUUGUAUCCGUAACGUAAACACCUAAUCCAUACGAAGCAAACCAUCAUUUGGUGAUAUGCUCAAACGACGAUUGAUGAACAUUAACAUUACACUUACACACACAACACCCUCUACCAUUUCUCACUCUUAUGAGAUCGUCCAUGAAGUAGCAAAUGUUUCUAGUUUGAAAUGGUUGCAGAAACAGAAGCCCCGUUUAAUUGAAGAUUGAAGGCGCAACAAAAAAUAUUAAAAUCGAUCGAUAGAGUGGAGUUGAUGAAACGAGAGCUACACCAUUUAGCUGAACUUGGGAAACGAGUUUCCUCCUCAUUUAUUAAGUGUUACUAUUUCAAUUUUUGCAUAUACUACUUGGAAAGUGAAAAACCGUUAUGCAUAAUUACGAUAAUAAGAACGAGAUAUGCAAGUUCAUCCGGGGUCACUAAUCCGGCGCUUGAGAUACAACUAUAAGUAACGUAAUUGCGUAAGUUAUGUUUAUGUGCGGCAGUGUACAUGCCUUCUGGCUACGCUGCAACAGGUGAAUAAGUAAACAAAAAGCAAGACGUUGCGUUGAGACAAAGAGAUGAGAACAGAGAUGAAGAAAGAAUAUAUCUAUAUACAUACAAAAUUCAUAACUCUUAUAUCCAUUUAUCCCAAAUUUCCAAAGCAUUUGAAGCACGAACCUUAAAUAGGACGUUAUUAGAGGACGGCGAAACGUUGUUGGUGUGUGUUUGGUGUGGUAGGCAAAAUGAGACAUAAGACAUUGGAAAGCGAGGUAAACGUUUGGAAAGGGCCAACAACGAUGACGGGGCGGCAUUAGGCACAGCUUUGAAGGACGGACGAUGCUAUGGACGCUGGAAUUAGGACGGAACCGUAAUGACCGCAACAAAUCAUAAGUUGGAAAAAAUUAUUUAACGAAAGUGGCGUAACCAAACAGCCAGCAGUUGAACGCAGCGUUAACGACGAUGGGCGCUGCUGUCGUACGUUUAGUUGGUGUAACCCGGGCUGUCGAGAGCUGAAAGGACAUUACAAUAACCGUUAUCGAGGAAAAAUAAACUAAGACCUGAACGACGAAACAUUCAUUGCCACGUUAUGCAAAAU